AUGGCCGCACCACCCUGAAUGCACCCAAUCUCAUCUGAUCUCAGAAGCUAAGCCAAGUGGAGCCUGAUUAGUACUUGGAUGGGAGGACUACAUUUCCCUGACUAUAUUUAUUUUUCAAGUCAGGCCCAUU
rnacentral:rRNA from 1 species